ensembl:lincRNA
GGGAAAAAUUUUUACCAGCUGCUCCUCAGACAAAGGAAUAUUAUCGAGAAAUGCAAUUUUAAAUAAGUGCAAAGAUGGUCAUGGUGGCACAUGCCUGUAAUCCCAAGGUUCUGAGAGGCUGAGGCCUGUGGAAUAUAAGUUUGAGCCCAGCCUGGGCAACUUAGUAAUUUAGUGAGACCCUGUCUCAAAAUAAAAAAAUAAAAUAAAGACUUUAAAAGAUGGGAACUUGGUUCAAACCCCAGUACUACCAGCACCAAAAAAAAAAAAAAAAAAAAAAAAGAGCACAAGAUGUUGUCUUUCCCCAACAGACCAGCAAGGAUGAAAAAGCAGCAGCAAGGUAGGUGCACGACAUGGGCUUCCAUCUGCCAGUAGUGGGAGCUAAAGAGUGGGGGAGUUGUCUAUGUGGAGGCCAAUGUCUAUCAAAAAUGCACAUCCACUUACCCUGUGUGCUUGUCUUUCCACUUUGAGGUGCUCAUCUUAGAAGAUGUUCACUGCAAUGUAUACCAGCAAAAACUGAGAGAGAGAUGAGUUCAUUGGGAGAGCAUGAUCCAAAUAGCCACAGAGUUGUGUGUGGCUAUUAAGAAGUGUGAGGCAAGUCUUCAUGUGAAUAUGGCAGGGGGAAGCCCAGGAUUUAUUAAGAAGGGGAAAGAAAUGAGUUGACGUAGUAACAAUAUGUCUCUUAUGACCUCACUAUUGGGAUAUGUGAAUAGCUACUGGUGUGCCCAUAGACGCAAUACUCCAACAAUGCACACCAGUGAGUUGGUAAUGGUUAUUCCUUGGGAAGACCGGGAAAGAGGAAGGCGAGUUCAACUUCAUAGCCAGUAUGCUCUUUGAAUCUUUACAAAGCUGUGUUCCUGUGGAAUCUAAUGCCUGGAGGUUGACCUUCCAAUUCUCUUAGACAGAAAAAGCUCAGCUUGCUCACCUUCCCCACACUGCUUGCUCAGGAACCGUGGCAAACAACCUAUUCGCAAUCUGGAGCAUUUCCCACUUGCUGUCAUAGGAUCUAAGGACAGGAAAGGCCCUCCUGGGUCCUUCAGCUUCCGCCUCUGCCCCAAGGCAGAGCUCUGUUCACACCGACUUCGACAGAUGGAUGUCAUUUCAAUACAGGAAAUAUUUACUGAGCAUCCACACUGGGCCAAGUCCUGUGCUCAGUGUUGCUUGGAAUCCACACAAGAAUGGAGCAAACUGAGUUCCCUCAGUAUGUGAGGGAGAACUGGAAAUUCAGGCAGGAACUGACUCUUCAGAGCACAGGUAGAAAUUCUUCUUCUCUGGUAAACCUCAUUUUGUGCCCUUAAGAUUUUUCAACUGAUUAGAGGAGGCCCACGCACAUCAUCAAGGAUAAUCUUUACUUAGGAUUAACUGGCUGUAGAUGUAACUGCAUCUGGAUUCAAGUUUGACUGCAUAACUGGGUUCUGUACGGCAGUGAGAUGAUAUAUAAAAUCACACACACACACACACACACACACAGAGAGAGAGAGAGAGAGAGAGAGAGAGAGAGAGAGAUUCAUUUGGUCCUUGCCCUAACUACUUCAUGAACAGUUUUUCUUCAUGACCACUUUUGUGACCUAUAGCAACCUCAGGCCUGCCAUGAGAUACGGAGAAAACAAUUUUCCAUUACCAUCUUCUCCAGCUCCCAUUACAUUGAAUCCCCAUAAUAAAGCUUUCAUUCUACUGCAUUAAUAAUGAUUCCACUUCCCUGUUUGAACUCCAAAGAAUAGAUAGCCCAUGUCCCAGAAUCAACUGACUUGGUAGAAUAUUACACUACCCUAUGAAACCCUAAGCUAUGGAAGAUUGUGAACCUACACCUG